CUUCUCAAAAAAAAAAAAAAAAGAUUUCAAGCGCUCCGAUCUACGCUCCAUCCGAUCUACGAUCUGACCCCUCAUCACCUCCGUCCGAUCUGACCCCUCAUCACCUCCGUCCGAUCUGACCCCUCAUACGCUCCAUCCGAUCUACUCUCCAUCCGAUCUGACCCCUCAUCACCUCCGUCCGAUCUGACCCCUCAUCACCCUCCAUCUCCGACCUCAACCCUCACCCUUCAUCCGAUCUCAACCCUCACCCUCCAUCCGAUCUCAACCUCUUUGUCCGUCACCCUCCAUCCGAUCUAAAUUUCACCCAUAACAAAACUCCGCCGACCCCGACGCCGAGAGAAACCCAUAACAAAACUCCGCCGACCCCGACGCCGAGAGACCAGCCCAGCGCCGACGACCCCAACGCUGACAAGGCCGAACUCUCAUACCCAUCGGCGACCCAUACCCAACGCCGCCGAGCCCAUCGCCGACAAAGCGGUACAAGAUGCACCGUUGCCACAGAUAUCCUCUUGCUACUUGAGGGUUAAGUACUUGGAUCACAACCAGUUGACAGGGAGAAUUGACGCAGUCUUCUAGAAACAUCCUUUCUUGAAAGAAUUGUGCUAUCAGUUCCGGCUGGCUGGUUCAGUGUAGACAUCUGCGAAGAUAAAUUUUCAGCACAUUUCUGGUGCUGUUAUGAUAUACUAAAGGUGCAAACAGUAAACAAGCCGUGUGCAAAUUUCAUCCAGACUGGGCAUCAAAAACUGACAUUCGCUACCAGGUUGAAGCUGAACCAUAAUUUAUGCUUAUUUCCCGUACAAAGAGAAAUAUUUUGCAACUUCAUGUCACUAAAUAGUAUGCUGAUGGAAUGAUUUUUAUUUU